rnacentral:lncRNA from 1 species
CGUGCAAAAUUGCUUCUAUCUAAACUUCAUAACAAUGUUGGGCGUCACAGAACCAGAAAACGUUCGCGGCAACUAGCCAAAACAUCAUAACCUAUAUUAACGGACCAACCCCUUAUUCACGGAACACUAAUGAGAUAGAGUGGCCGAUUCGCUGAGCGAUUGUCUUCUUAUUAGGCCUUUUUAACAUACGAAUCGGCCCAAAAUAUUAAAAAUUUCCAUAUCAGGGCCUAACCCACUAAUCACGGGUAUUCAUUUAGGAUUCUUUGGGCUGAGAUAUUUGUUCUUGCAAAUGACUUUUUAUUUCUAAAGGCUCAAAGGCUACGC